UGGAAUGCACGCUCCCUUCAGUCCCUACCCCGCAGCAUGACAAAACUGUGUUCCCUCGUCAUUUUGAGUGUGGAAGAUGCUAUUCUUAUCCGGUCACUUCCAGAUCUGCCUACUUCACUGCGUUGUCUAGUCAUCAACAGCUGUCACCCUGUGUUGAAGGAGCGAUGCCAAGAGAAUGUAGGCCUUGAUUGGCCCAAGAUUGCCAACAUCCGUUAUGCGAGGAUUGAACAUGCAUUUGCAGGUUGUGAUGAUGAUGCAUAUUUAAUUCCUCUCUCUAGGAGUACAAACAAGAUGCGAAGUCUGGCUGAUGAUGAGUUCGAACAUAAGAGAAGCAUGACGAAAGCUUUUUCAGUUUGUUAAAUUUCUUGGUGCAGGGCUGUAGUAAUGGAACAUGCAAGGAUUAGGACUCCGUAUUGGCGCUCGAAUCUAUUUUCCCUUAUCGGGCAUAAAACAGUAUUAAAAUCUUACUACCUAUUCUCUCUUCUUUUUCUUCUUUGGUGCAAUAGUGAAAAAGGCUCUUAUUGUCAUAUAUGACUCGCAUACAUGGUCAUGGUCCAUCAAUUUAUUCAUAAGAAUAUCAAAAAAAAGACUAAUUUCUUACAUGAAUUUGUUGGUGCAGGAUCAGAUUAAGAUUCCAUGUAUUUUUGUGUGUGUGUGUAUGUGUAUAUAUAGCAGCCAAACUAAUGUAAAAUCUUUAAGAAAGAAAUUGCCCUCUUUUGCGGCAGGGCGGUUAAAUGCUUCAAUUUUGUUUCUCCUCAAUUUAGUGUCCGAAUAUUCCCGCGCAAAUAGCAAAUCGCAUAGCCUGGUCAUAAGCUUGUUCUGUUGUUGUCUGUUAUAUGUUGAAGUUGUUGAGCUUCUUUGAGGUAGCUAAAACAUCCAUGGUCUAAACAUUGCUUUAAGAUGUGUUUUCAAUUUUUAUAUAUUUUUUAGCAGUAUAACAAGCACCCAGAUUGAACUUGUGUCCACUCUAAAUUUUGUUAAACCUUUUCAAGUUUCUAAUGCAGGUUGUAUCCACUUUCCGGAGUAAAUUUGACAGAUACUCCGUCGAUAAUACUCAGGCCGACAUCUCAUCGUAAAGCGGGCAUCGACUUGCAACCGCGUCCUGCAGCUGCUUGCGAAAUUCUACUUUCUUUACGAUUUUCCAAAAGAGAAAAAAAAUUAAUUUCCUGAUGCAUUGAACACAGAAAAGCACACUCAAAACUCGAACAGACCGACAACUGUUGCUUAUGUUCAGUUCAGUCUGCAAUCUCUGUAAGGUAAAAUUGUAAUGAAACCUAUGCAAUUAUAGGCCAUUGCGAAAUAGGCCCCUCAACUUCACAAUUUGUU